rnacentral:rRNA from 1 species
UACGAAGGGGGCUAGCGUUGUUCGGAAUUACUGGGCGUAAAGGGUGCGUAGGCGGCCCUGUAAGUAUGGUGUGAAAUCUCCCGGCUUAACUGGGAGGGUGCGCUAUAGACUGCGGGGCUCGAGUGUGGGAGAGGAAAGUGGAAUUCCUGGUGUAGCGGUGGAAUGCGCAGAUAUCAGGAGGAACACCAAUAGCGAAGGCAGCUCGCUGGGACGGUACUGACGGCUA